UUACAGAGCAUUUUGAGAGAACAUAUACAUCUGAGAGACACCUGGAAUAAGGAAUGUUGGUACUAUCCUCAAGAAGAGGAUUAGAAUUGUCAAUACAAUAUUAAUACUCCAGAUAAGCAGCGACGCAUUAUCAGUGUCGUAUUUGCAUUUUGCUUUAAGCUAGUGCAAUAUAUAUUUUUAAAGUAACAAAUAUUUUAUAAUUAACUUCUAACUGCAAUGUAAACAUUAAAAAGUCAAUUAACCAGCUCUCUUAAUGGUUCCUCUCAUCCAGGAAUGUUCCCUUUUAAAUAAACAUCAAAUUGCACAGUUUAGAUGUCCAGCAACAACAAGAGAACCAGUGUAUAUAAUUCAGAAAAGAACAA